rnacentral:misc_RNA from 1 species
UCUCUCUCUCUCUCUCUGCGCCACAUCACAACCCCAGGAGUCUCAGCAUUGCAGCAUAGCAGCAGGGCAGUGCACUGCUGCUCUGCGUCUCAGUCUCGCAGAUUAGCUAAAAAGAAAAAGAAAACCCAUCAACAAACUUAAAGCAAAUACAGAAAAACAGAAAAGAAAUCAAACCCUCUCUCCAUUUAUUACCAUUUCAGCCCUAAAUUUAUUUUCUUUUUAACCAAAAAUUAAAGGCUUUGAUUUGAUAUCUUGAAAAAGCACUUUGAGUCUUGACUCCCAUCUCCCUGUUAUUAAGCAAAUGCCAAAGUUGCAUUGAUGCAGCCAUGAAAGGUAGUCUCUUUUCUCUCUAUAACCAUUCCCCUUUCGCAAAUCUUUUCCUUCUUCAACUUUACACUCCUGCUGUUUAGUUGGGGUUGAGGAUAAAAUGUUGGGUAUCAUAGAUCUUAAUACCACGGAGGAGGAUCAAACGACACCGUCUUCUGGGUCUUUGUCUUCUCCAUCCUCGUCUUCUGCUUCUGCUUUAAGUGCUUCUAAUUUAAGCCCGUCUGGGUCUGGUUCUGCUUCUUCUUCGGUGUGUUUGGAGCUCUGGCAUGCUUGUGCGGGCCCGCUCAUAUCCUUGCCUAAGAGAGGGAGUGUGGUCGUGUACUUUCCUCAGGGCCACUUGGAGCAACUCCCUGAUUUACCGCUUGCUGCCUAUGAUCUUCCUUCCCAUAUCUUCUGUCGGGUUGUUGACGUCAAGCUCCAUGCAGAGGAAGCCAAUGAUGAGGUCUAUACACAGGUUUCGCUGGUUCCUGAGAGUGAGCAAAUUGCGCAGAAGUUGAAGGAAGGGAAAAUUGGUGGGGAUGGUGAAGAGGAGGAUAUGGAAGCAGCUGUGAAGUCAACAACACCCCACAUGUUCUGCAAAACCCUUACCGCAUCUGAUACUAGCACCCAUGGAGGCUUUUCUGUCCCUCGUCGAGCUGCUGAAGACUGCUUCCCUCCCUUGGAUUAUACUCAACAAAGGCCUUCACAAGAGCUAGUAGCAAAGGAUCUCCAUGGCUUUGAGUGGAGGUUUCGCCAUAUCUACCGUGGGCAACCACGGAGGCAUUUGCUCACUACUGGAUGGAGUGCAUUUGUAAAUAAGAAGAAACUUGUCUCUGGAGAUGCUGUGCUCUUUCUCAGGUAUAGAGAUCCUGUUUCAAGGGAGAAUAUUGACUAUUUUUGUUGCCUUCUUAUUCUGUACCAAAUGUCAGGGGUGAGGAUGGAGAAUUGAGACUGGGAAUUCGAAGAGCUGCGCAAGUUAAAUGUGGUGCUACUUUACCGGCUCUUUGUACUCAGCAGUUGAAUCACAGCACUCUCACAGAUGUAGUUAAUGCUAUGACUAUGCGAAGUGUUUUCAACAUUUACUAUAAUCCAAGGUAUUUUGAUGCUUGCUUCUUCGAAGGUCUUGGAAUAAAAUUCAGCCCCAUCAAUUUUUGGAUCCUAGCACGCAAAACUGUCAGAUUGAACUUGCAGAAAAAUUAUAAGCAAAUAUUACUUGAACUUACGGAAAAUGGGUAGUUGCAGUUUUCACCAAGAUCAUUCUAUAUUAGGGUGUUUAGGCCUUGUGUAAAGCUUGGUAUGGAAUUCUGAGUCUGUGAUCCUUCUACAGGUUACACAUGACCAUCAUGGUCUAAUUUUUCCCCGCAUUGCUCGCAAAAUGGAAAGAUAAAAAUGCCUAGCUUGACCUCUUCCACUGGAUCACCCAUAUAAAUCCCCAAUCAUAUUGUCCAGUCCACAAUUUGUACCGUUUUAGUAAUGUCAUUCUCUAUUAUGCAUUUUACUGCACUUGCCAAAGGUAUUUACAUUGUUGGUUCAUUACUCCAUCUCAUUUUUGCUUUGAUAUUCCAUUCAUCAUCAAUCACAAAUGGACAGCAUAUUUCAAUUUUAGUUGUUACUUGAAUAUGGAAAAUUCAUUCAAUUGAGCUCUACAAUUGAAUUAUUUGCCUUAAGCUUUACUGGUGUCACGCCUCUUAUCCUUCAUGAUGCAUGCUAAUCUUCUGCAAUAUUGCUUCUUUUUAUGAUCACUUGUCACUUCUGCUUGCAAUAACCCACAUUUCAGAUUAAUUAUCCCUUUAUUUCCAUUUAAUUUUUUAGUCCCUAAAAUUUUCAAGGGCAUUUUGUAGGGCCAGCUCGUCAGAGUUCAUAAUACCUUCCCGUAAAUUCUUGAAGAGCCUUGAUCAUUCUUUUUCUAUUGGAAUGAGGUUCAAAAUGCGUUUUGAAACAGAAGAUGCAGCAGAAAGAAGGUUUGACAUGCUUGGCUUGUAACAUUUCAACUUGACUACUUUUUCAAAAUGCUGACUAGAGUCUCUUUGGCAGAUACGUGGGAAUGAUAACUGGAAUCAGUGACCUAGAUCCUGCUAGAUGGCCUGGUUCAAAGUGGAGAUGCCUUCGGGUAAGGUGGGAUGAUAUGGAGACUAGCAGGCACAGUAGGGUUUCUCCUUGGGAAAUUGAGCCAUCUGGUCCUGUUUCCAGUUGCAGUACUUUUAUGGCACCUGGUCUGAAGAGAAGCAGGUCCGGAUUGCCUUCAUCAAAACAUGAAUUUCCAGUUCCUGAUGGGAUUGGUGUAUCAGACUUUGGGGAAUCUUCAAGGUUCCAGAAGGUCUUGCAAGGUCAAGAAAUUUUGAGUUUUAACACUCCUUAUGAUGGUGUUGAUCAGAAUCGGCAUCUGUCUGAGACAAGGAGGUGUUUCCCUAGCUCACUUGGUUCUGGGAUUGCUACAAGAAGAAAUGGUGCCGAAGGACCAGUUGCGAGCUCUGAUGGAAACCAUAAAGGCAUAGGCUGUAGUGAAUCUUUUAGAUUGCACAAGGUCUUGCAAGGUCAAGAAAUAUGCCCACUGAGAUCACUGACUGGAAAAAGUGAUUUCAACCUAGGUGCUUGGGGCAGACCCAAUCUUAGAUGUGGUCCUUUCAACAUAUAUCAAGCACCAAGACCUAAUUUUUAUCCGCUAGCAGCAGAAAGCUUUCAAAAUAUGUAUUUUCCUUAUGCUGAUUUAUAUAAAACUGGCCAAGAUCCUAGAAUGUGUUCUUAUGCUACUAACUUCCCAAGAGAAAAACUCCAAUUUGGUGCAUCUUCUAUUCAGACUGGUGUUGCUAGGGAUGAAGUUGGAAAGCCAAAUCAAUCAAGUGAGCACAAGUCACAGGAAACUAUUUCUGCAUCACCAGCCUUAGGGGUAAAUCUAAUAAAUCAAAAGGAUAACUCUUUUAAUGGGACUGCUAGUGGCUGCAAGCUGUUUGGAUUCUCGUUGACUGCCGAAUCACCUACUCCAAACUCACAAAACUCUGGUAAGCGGAGUUGUACAAAGGUUCAUAAGCAGGGCAGCUUGGUUGGAAGAGCUAUUGAUCUCUCAAGACUGAAUGGCUAUGAUGACCUGUUGAGUGAACUAGAGCGACUAUUUAGCAUGGAAGGCUUUCUACGAGAUCAUAAGAAAGGGUGGCGGAUCUUGUAUACUGACAGUGAGAAUGAUGUAAUGGUUGUCGGGGAUGAUCCAUGGCAGUAAGUGUCUCUGACUCUCUGUAAUGAAACCUUCUGGUAUCCGCUAUCCAGUGCAUUACAAAAUUGAUUUGCAUGCAAUAUACCUCAUAUUCCAUAUUAAUAAUAGCGAGCCUUCCUGUAU